AUACCCCAGAGUGAGGGAUAACCAGCCGAAAGGUUGGCUAAUACCGCAUACGCUCUACGGAGUAAAGCAGUAAUGCGCUUUGGGAAUAGCCUGCGUCCGAUUAGCUAGUUGGUAGUGUAAUGGACUACCAAGGCGACGAUCGGUAGCUGGUCUGAGAGGAUGAUCAGCCACACUGGAACUGAGACACGGUCCAGACUCCUACGGGAGGCAGCAGUAGGGAAUUUUCCACAAUGGGCGAAAGCCUGAUGGAGCAACGCCGCGUGCAGGAUGAAGGCCUUAGGGUCGUAAACUGCUUUUAUCUGUGACGAUUAUGACAGUAGCAGAUGAAUAAGGAUCGGCUAACUCCGUGCCAGCAGCCGCGGUCAUACGGAGGAUCCAAGCGUUAUCCGGAAUUACU
rnacentral:rRNA from 1 species